rnacentral:rRNA from 1 species
UACGAAGGGGGCUAGCGUUGUUCGGAAUCACUGGGCGUAAAGGGCGCGUAGGCGGCUUUGUAAGUCGGGGGUGAAAGCCUGUGGCUCAACCACAGAAUUGCCUUCGAUACUGCAUGGCUUGAGACCGGAAGAGGUAAGUGGAACUGCGAGUGUAGAGGUGAAAUUCGUAGAUAUUCGCAAGAACACCAGUGGCGAAGGCGGCUUACUGGUCCGGUUCUGACGCUGAGGCGCGAAAGCGUGGGUAGCAAACAGG